rnacentral:rRNA from 1 species
GACGUAGGGGGCGAGCGUUGUCCGGAUUUAUUGGGCGUAAAGCGCGCGUAGGCGGCCUGUUAAGUCGGGUGUGAAAACCCGGGGCUCAACCCCGGGCCUGCAUUCGAUACUGGCAGGCUAGAGGCAGGCAGGGGAGAUCGGAAUUCCUGGUGUAGCGGUGAAAUGCGCAGAUAUCAGGAGGAACACCAGUGGCGAAGGCGGAUCUCUGGGCCGAUACUGACGCUGAGGAGCGAAAGCGUGGGGAGCGAACAGG